rnacentral:rRNA from 1 species
GACAGAGGAUGCAAGCGUUAUCCGGAAUGAUUGGGCGUAAAGCGUCUGUAGGUGGCUUUUUAAGUCCGCCGUCAAAUCCCAGGGCUCAACCCUGGACAGGCGGUGGAAACUACCAAGCUGGAGUACGGUAGGGGCAGAGGGAAUUUCCGGUGGAGCGGUGGAAUGCGUAGAGAUCGGAAAGAACACCAACGGCGAAAGGCAACUCUGCUGGGCCGACACUGACACUGAGAGACGAAAGCUAGGGGAGCGAAUGGG